AACUCCACAUACGCAUCCUUUGCUGAGGAUACGGUUAACGGAGCGCAAGCGACGUUCAACCUCAAAAGAAGCAGAGGGGGCUUAGUGGUGGGGUGACUGCGUACCUUUUGUAUAAUGGGUCAGCGACUUAUAUUCUGUAGCAAGGUUAACCGAAUAGGGGAGCCGGAGGGAAACCGAGUCUUAAUUGGGCGUUAAGUUGCAGGGUAUAGACCCGAAACCCGGUGAUCUAGCCAUGGGCAGGUUGAAGGUUGGGUAACACUAACUGGAGGACCGAACCGACUAAUGUUGAAAAAUUAGCGGAUGACCUGUGGCUGGGGGUGAAAGGCCAAUCAAACCGGGAGAUAGCUGGUUCUCCCCGAAAGCUAUUUAGGUAGCGCCUCGUGAAUUCAUCUCCGGGGGUAGAGCACUGUUUCGGCUAGGGGGCCAUCCCGGCUUACCAACCCGAUGCAAACUGCGAAUACCGGAGAAUGUUAUCACGGGAGACACACGGCGGGUGCUAACGUCCGUCGUGAAGAGGGAAACAACCCAGACCGCCAGCUAAGGUCCCAAAGUCAUGGUUAAGUGGGAAACGAUGUGGGAAGGCCCAGACAGCCAGGAUGUUGGCUUAGAAGCAGCCAUCAUUUAAAGAAAGCGUAAUAGCUCACUGGUCGAGUCGGCCUGCGCGGAAGAUGUAACGGGGCUAAACCAUGCACCGAAGCUGCGGCAGCGACACUCAGGUGUUGUUGGGUAGGGGAGCGUUCUGUAAGCCUGUGAAGGUGGCCUGUGAGGGUUGCUGGAGGUAUCAGAAGUGCGAAUGCUGACAUAAGUAACGAUAAAGCGGGUGAAAAGCCCGCUCGCCGGAAGACCAAGGGUUCCUGUCCAACGUUAAUCGGGGCAGGGUGAGUCGACCCCUAAGGCGAGGCCGAAAGGCGUAGUCGAUGGGAAACGGGUUAAUAUUCCCGUACUUGGUGUUACUGCGAAGGGGGGACGGAGAAGGCUAUGUUGGCCGGGCGACGGUUGUCCCGGUUUAAGCGUGUAGGUGUGUGUUCCAGGUAAAUCCGGUUCACUUUAACACUGAGGCGUGAUGACGAGGCACUACGGUGCUGAAGCAACAAAUGCCCUGCUUCCAGGAAAAGCCUCUAAGCAUCAGGUAACAUCAAAUCGUACCCCAAACCGACACAGGUGGUCAGGUAGAGAAUACCAAGGCGCUUGAGAGAACUCGGGUGAAGGAACUAGGCAAAAUGGUGCCGUAACUUCGGGAGAAGGCACGCUGACAUGUAGGUGAAGUGAUUUACUCACGGAGCUGAAGUCAGUCGAAGAUACCAGCUGGCUGCAACUGUUUAUUAAAAACACAGCACUGUGCAAACACGAAAGUGGACGUAUACGGUGUGACGCCUGCCCGGUGCCGGAAGGUUAAUUGAUGGGGUCAGCGCAAGCGAAGCUCCUGAUCGAAGCCCCGGUAAACGGCGGCCGUAACUAUAACGGUCCUAAGGUAGCGAAAUUCCUUGUCGGGUAAGUUCCGACCUGCACGAAUGGCGUAAUGAUGGCCAGGCUGUCUCCACCCGAGACUCAGUGAAAUUGAACUCGCUGUGAAGAUGCAGUGUACCCGCGGCAAGACGGAAAGACCCCGUGAACCUUUACUAUAGCUUGACACUGAACAUUGAGCCUUGAUGUGUAGGAUAGGUGGGAGGCUUUGAAGUGUGGACGCCAGUCUGCAUGGAGCCGGCCUUGAAAUACCACCCUUUAAUGUUUGAUGUUCUAACGUGGACCCGUGAUCCGGGUUGCGGACAGUGUCUGGUGGGUAGUUUGACUGGGGCGGUCUCCUCCUAAAGAGUAACGGAGGAGCACGAAGGUUGGCUAAUCCUGGUCGGACAUCAGGAGGUUAGUGCAAUGGCAUAAGCCAGCUUGACUGCGAGCGUGACGGCGCGAGCAGGUGCGAAAGCAGGUCAUAGUGAUCCGGUGGUUCUGAAUGGAAGGGCCAUCGCUCAACGGAUAAAAGGUACUCCGGGGAUAACAGGCUGAUACCGCCCAAGAGUUCAUAUCGACGGCGGUGUUUGGCACCUCGAUGUCGGCUCAUCACAUCCUGGGGCUGAAGUAGGUCCCAAGGGUAUGGCUGUUCGCCAUUUAAAGUGGUACGCGAGCUGGGUUUAGAACGUCGUGAGACAGUUCGGUCCCUAUCUGCCGUGGGCGCUGGAGAACUGAGGGGGGCUGCUCCUAGUACGAGAGGACCGGAGUGGACGCAUCACUGGUGUUCGGGUUGUCAUGCCAAUGGCACUGCCCGGUAGCUAAAUGCGGAAGAGAUAAGUGCUGAAAGCAUCUAAGCACGAAACUUGCCCCGAGAUGAGUUCUCCCUGAGACUUUAGGUCUCCUGAAGGAACGUUGAAGACGACGACGUUGAUAGGCCGGGUGUGUAAGCGCAGCGAUGCGUUGAGCUAACCGGUACUAAUGAACCGUGAGGCUUAACCUUACA
rnacentral:rRNA from 1 species